CCUCAUCAUGACGUAUUUUUGGACUGAUGCGACUUAUACUCCGGUGCGACUUAAAGUCCGAAAAAUGCGCUAUAUGUUGAAAUAAACUGACAUAUGUUGCCAUGUCAUGUAAAUUACACAUUUACACAUGCUAUGUAAGAGUGUUUGUAGAUGUGUUGUCAUCAUCAGUUGCAUUAAGUUAACUGGAUAUUUUAUUUUUAAAACUGGCUUGUGAUCUAGUAGUUACAGGGGAAGGAAUGUUUCUUUUAUUGGGGCUCUUAUAUUUCAUGAUUUUAUUUAUGUGUAAUUAUAAAUAUUAUGUUAACUUUUUUCUUUGACAUUCUCAUUUUUAUAUAUUUGCUUAUUUGUCCCUUAUUUGGACACUGGGUCUGCUGUAUGUUAUGCGAAGAGAAAGUUAAUACAAAAAUGUAAGGGUGAUAAUGUUGGAAUUACCAGAUUAAUGCUGCAAUCUUGAGAAUCAGUUUAUACACUGAUCACAGUAAGGGCACCCUGAGUGUUUUGGCAUUAGCAGACACAUAAACUACAUAAAAACAUGAGACAAACACAAGCUAAUGCUAUGUCAUGCUAAUGUUAGUUGUAUUUCAUCCGCCCCUUUCCAUAACAUUGUAAUAAUGUUUAUUACAAACUGGACAUAAAAAAAUGCACUUUCGAUAAAGCAAUGUACAAAUUGUAAACCAGGUGAAUAAUCUGGUUUUGGAGUGGAGUGGACCUUGUGGAUGAAAGAUGGGACUGGAUCCCCCUGUCCCAAAUAAAAUCAAACAAAAACACAUCAACCAUC